rnacentral:rRNA from 1 species
UUUAUGGAGAGUUUGAUCCUGGCUCAGGAUGAACGCUGGCGGCGUGCCUAAUACAUGCAAGUCGAGCGAACGGACGAGAAGCUUGCUUCUCUGAUGUUAGCGGCGGACGGGUGAGUAACACGUGGAUAACCUACCUAUAAGACUGGGAUAACUUCGGGAAACCGGAGCUAAUACCGGAUAAUAUUUUGAACCGCAUGGUUCAAAAGUGAAAGACGGUCUUGCUGUCACUUAUAGAUGGAUCCGCGCUGCAUUAGCUAGUUGGUAAGGUAACGGCUUACCAAGGCAACGAUGCAUAGCCGACCUGAGAGGGUGAUCGGCCACACUGGAACUGAGACACGGUCCAGACUCCUACGGGAGGCAGCAGUAGGGAAUCUUCCGCAAUGGGCGAAAGCCUGACGGAGCAACGCCGCGUGAGUGAUGAAGGUCUUCGGAUCGUAAAACUCUGUUAUUAGGGAAGAACAUAUGUGUAAGGAACUGUGCACAUCUUGACGGUACCUAAUCAGAAAGCCACGGCUAACUACGUGCCAGCAGCCGCGGUAAUACGUAGGUGGCAAGCGUUAUCCGGAAUUAUUGGGCGUAAAGCGCGCGUAGGCGGUUUUUUAAGUCUGAUGUGAAAGCCCACGGCUCAACCGUGGAGGGUCAUUGGAAACUGGAAAACUUGAGUGCAGAAGAGGAAAGUGGAAUUCCAUGUGUAGCGGUGAAAUGCGCAGAGAUAUGGAGGAACACCAGUGGCGAAGGCGACUUUCUGGUCUGUAACUGACGCUGAUGUGCGAAAGCGUGGGGAUCAAACAGGAUUAGAUACCCUGGUAGUCCACGCCGUAAACGAUGAGUGCUAAGUGUUAGGGGGUUUCCGCCCCUUAGUGCUGCAGCUAACGCAUUAAGCACUCCGCCUGGGGAGUACGACCGCAAGGUUGAAACUCAAAGGAAUUGACGGGGACCCGCACAAGCGGUGGAGCAUGUGGUUUAAUUCGAAGCAACGCGAAGAACCUUACCAAAUCUUGACAUCCUUUGACAACUCUAGAGAUAGAGCCUUCCCCUUCGGGGGACAAAGUGACAGGUGGUGCAUGGUUGUCGUCAGCUCGUGUCGUGAGAUGUUGGGUUAAGUCCCGCAACGAGCGCAACCCUUAAGCUUAGUUGCCAUCAUUAAGUUGGGCACUCUAAGUUGACUGCCGGUGACAAACCGGAGGAAGGUGGGGAUGACGUCAAAUCAUCAUGCCCCUUAUGAUUUGGGCUACACACGUGCUACAAUGGACAAUACAAAGGGCAGCGAAACCGCGAGGUCAAGCAAAUCCCAUAAAGUUGUUCUCAGUUCGGAUUGUAGUCUGCAACUCGACUACAUGAAGCUGGAAUCGCUAGUAAUCGUAGAUCAGCAUGCUACGGUGAAUACGUUCCCGGGUCUUGUACACACCGCCCGUCACACCACGAGAGUUUGUAACACCCGAAGCCGGUGGAGUAACCUUUUAGGAGCUAGCCGUCGAAGGUGGGACAAAUGAUUGGGGUGAAGUCGUAACAAGGUAGCCGUAUCGGAAGGUGCGGCUGGAUCACCUCCUUUCU